rnacentral:rRNA from 1 species
AUUGAACGCUGGCGGCAGGCUUAACACAUGCAAGUCGAGCGAGCGGCGGACGGGUGAGUAAUGUCUGGGAAACUGCCUGAUGGAGGGGGAUAAAUACUGGAAACUGUAGCUUAUACCGCAUACCCUCAGAUGUGCCCAGAUGGGAGUAGCUAGUAGGUGGGGUAAUGGCUCACCUAGGCGACGAUCCCUAGCUGGUCUGAGAGGAUGACCAGCCACACUGGAACUGAGACACGGCCCAGACUCCUACGGGAGGCAGCAGUGGGGAAUAUUGCACAAUGGGCGCAAGCCUGAUGCAGCCAUGCCGCGUGUAUGAAGAAGGCCUUCGGGUUGUAAAGCACUUUCAGCGAGGAGGCGUUACUCACAGAAGAAGCACCGGCUAACUCCGUGCCAGCAGCCGCGGUAAUAC